GACACAGCCAGGCCCACAAUUAACCAAUCGGUUGUCACCCAGUGGAAAAAUCCACAGCUGGUUAAGGUAGCAGAACUGACAGCCCUGAAAAAGGGCGACAGGGUGUCAAUUAAAGGAACUGUGACGAAGGUGUCACCACUGCUGGAAACCGAAGUCAGCAAAAGAAAGAUCAUUUCAAUUGAAGAAGACGGAAAUGUGGUGGAAGUUAAACUCUGGAAUGAGGAAAGCAACAAAGAGUGCCCUGUAGGAGAAAUUGUCAAGCUGAAAUGUCUGUCUGUGGAUAUUUACAAGGAUAAAUAUUCAUUAAAUUCAACCAAAAACACAACCUGUGAGAUUCUGCAGGAGGAUGACGACUUUGCUGGAACAAUUGAAGCUGCAAAUUUUGAUCA